UCUAAUACCGGAUAUUACCUGGUGAGGCAUCUUACCGGGUGGAAAGCUCCGGCGGUGCAGGAUGAGCCCGCGGCCUAUCAGCUUGUUGGUGGGGUGAUGGCCUACCAAGGCGACGACGGG
rnacentral:rRNA from 2 species